rnacentral:rRNA from 1 species
UACAGAGGGUGCGAGCGUUGUUCGGAAUCACUGGGCGUAAAGCGCGCGCAGGCGGGCGUGUAAGUCAGAAGUGAAAUUCCGGGGCUCAACCCCGGAGCUGCUCCUGAUACUGCAGGUCUGGAGACCGGUAGAGGCUGGUGGAAUUCCCGGUGUAGCGGUGGAAUGCGUAGAGAUCGGGAAGAACACCCGUGGCGAAGGCGGCCAGCUGGGCCGGUUCUGGACGCUGAGGCGCGAAAGCGUGGGGAGCAAACAGG